AUUGGGCGUAAAGGGUCUGUAGGAGGUUUGUUAAAUACGGGGUGAAAUCCGGGAGCUCAACUCCCGAACUGCCCUGUAGACUGACAGACUGGAGUACCGGAGAGGUAAGCGGAAUACCAAGUGUAGCGGUGGAAUGCGUAGAUAUUUGGUAGAACACCAAGAGCGAAGGCAGCUUACUGGCCGGCAACUGACUCUGAAAGACGAAAGCAUGGGGAGCAAACAGGAUUAGAUACCCUGGUAGUCCAUGCCGUAAACGUUGUCAACUUGAUGUGGGUGGAUUUAGUCCUAUCCGUAUCGAAGCCAACGCGAUAAGUUGACCGCCUGGGGACUACGGCCGCAAGGCUAAAACUCAAAGGAAUUGACGGGGGCCCGCACAAGCGGUGGAGCAUGUGGCUUAAUUCGAGGCAACGCGAAGAACCUUACCUGGGCUUGAAAUAUACCGGACAGUCUGUGAAAGCAGAUCUCCCUUCGGGGCUGGUAUACAGGUGCUGCAUGGCUGUCGUCAGCUCGUGCCGUGAGGUGUUCGGUUAAGUCCGGCAACGAGCGCAACCCGUGUCAUUAGUUGCCAACAGGUAAAGCUGGGGACUCUAAUGAGACUGCCUGUGUUAAGCAGGAGGAAGGCGCGGAUGAUGUCAAGUCAGUAUGGCCCUUACGCCCAGGGCUGCACACGUGCUACAAUGGGGGGUACAAUGAGAAGCGAAGUCGCGAGGCGGAGCAAAUCUACAAAACCUCUCUUAGUUCAGAUUGCAGUCUGCAACUCGACUGCAUGAAGUUGGAAUCGCUAGUAAAGGCGUAUCAGCUACGACGCCUUGAAUACGUUCCCGGGCCUUGUACACACCGCCCGUCACAUCAUGGGAGUUGAUUGCACCCGAAAUCGUUGAUCCAACCUGCAAAGGAGGAAGGCGCCUAAGGUGUGGUCGAUGACUGGGAUGAAGUCGUAACAAGGUAGCCGUAGGGGAACCUGCGGCUG
rnacentral:rRNA from 1 species